rnacentral:rRNA from 1 species
UACAGAGGGUGCGAGCGUUGUUCGGAAUUAUUGGGCGUAAAGAGCUCGUAGGCGGUUUGUCGCGUCUGCCGUGAAAGUCCGGGGCUCAACUCCGGAUCUGCGGUGGGUACGGGCAGACUAGAGUGAUGUAGGGGAGACUGGAAUUCCUGGUGUAGCGGUGAAAUGCGCAGAUAUCAGGAGGAACACCGAUGGCGAAGGCGGCUCUCUGGGCCGCAACUGACGCUGAGGAGCGAAAGCAUGGGGAGCGAACAGG